AACCUUACAAAAGCUAACGUUACAUAGAGGCAGUAUUUAGUCAAGUGUUAUAAUGUAUGCAUCAAUAUUAAACUAACUGGGACAAUUUUCAUUUACAGAUAACAUCAAAUAAAAAACCAUGGAGAAAGUCACGAGGAAGCAGUGGUGAGGUGGACAUGAUCCAUGCAGUGGAGGACUGCGGGGCAGGGAUGGCUAUCCGCCAGGCUGCCAAGGUGCAUGGUGUACCUCGGCAGACCCAGGCGGACAAGGCUGAGCGGCCGGGUGACCCAUGGUUGUCGCAGUGGACCACCCACAUCGCUUGCACCAGAGGAUGAAAAUUAUCUGGUGCAGUACUGUAUCUACCAAAAAACAAAAUAAACAUUUUCAUUCUGGUUGGAUAA